rnacentral:lncRNA from 1 species
UUAAGGUUGAAGCAUGUGGCAUCCUAAUCUUUUAGAAAGUAUUUCUUGCUCGGAAGCCUAAAUGCAACUAUUCAAGCUGGAAUGUGAUAAAUAUUACAAUUGCUCUAGAUUUUUUUAUUAAUAUGUUAAUUUGUGCUUUGUCUAAUCUCUCAGUUCUAUUAGUCUAUACCUGCUAAUGGAGCAGUAUAUAUAUGUGUGAAUGGGCUCCAGCAUAGUUUAGUUCUUAAUGCUUCACUAUACCUUUUUAAUCAAGUUUUCAAGAUAUGUUUUGCGUAGCGGCAUCCUCCUCCCUACGUGGGGAGGGGGUUCAACUUGUGAGGUUCCUCAGCUUUCAGCUUGGCAUGAAAUACUGGAUGACCCAGCCCGGCUUGACUUGAACAAGAUCAUCAUGGGAGGAGUUUGGAUUUCUUCAGCUUCUUAUUUUGUUGCUUUUUAUGACAUUUGCCAUUUAGUGUAGUGUUUGAAGUUAUACAAUUCUAUAUAGUAUAUAUGGAAAUUUGGUUUUACUUAUAUUAAUAUAUUUAGUCCAAUCUCUUAUUUGUUUAUUAGUUUAGGAAAACCUUAUUUAGUGUACUCUUGAUGUUCUUGUGCGAUAAUACAUGGACGGUGAGCUCCAGUGUUUAUUUUGCAAUGGAAAGACCAGUUCUCGAGAAGUUGGUAUUGGGCUGAGUUAAUUUGCAUUAGAAGAAGAUAAAAGAUAUAACCUUUUGAUGCUCUCUAACUCGUUGAUCUCUUCUCUGCUCAAUGCAUUUGCUCAUGCAUACAAAUUGAUGUCUGUCUGUCUCCCCUGUGUAUGAACAUAACAUGGACAUAUUUAUGCACGCAUCAUAUAUUUGAUACUUUUUGCUCUAACUCUUGAUUGUUUAGUCAAGGAGAGAUUAUGAGAAGCAAGUGGCUGAUGAAGAAGCUGAGCAGCUGCGAAG